GUCGCGCCAGGAACGCGUGGGGUGAAAUAGGCCGAGGGGCGGAGCUGGGUGACGCAAAGGUCUGAGUCAAUCGGGAAAGACCAGACCUCCUCGGCUCAGGGUCCACCCCUGACUGGUCGAGUUCCCUGGCGAGGUCUUUGCCCGGAUGUGGGCGUGGCCGGCCCAGCUCAAGCGGAGACCUUGCCCAGGAGUUACAGUUUGGCGAGAGGGGUUUUGUGCGGGAGCUUAUUUUAAAGCAAAGGGAGUUCAAAGGUGGCAUGCAAAAGGAAUAAGAGAGCAGAGAGAGUUGGUAGCUGUCCCAAGGAAAAUUUAUUUCUACAUAGAAGGGAGAAGAUCCUAGACACUAGAGGUACUUGUCACCAUAACCCUGGGAUGAUGGCCAGCGUAGAAUAGACUGUGAAUUAAGGGCCGGCCAGAAGACUUCAGAGCAAGACCAAUAGGCUCUCCGCCAUGGUGACCUCUAUCCAAGAUAAGGAAACAAAAUUCUGAGAAAUAAAGUGACUUCCCCAAGAUGGAACACUUGCCUUGGUGUAGAAAGAGGAUCAAAGUUCCCAAACCAGUGCUCUCUUGCCUCACAAACCAAUGAUUUCUCCAAAGUUAAUCCUGGGAGAGACUAAAGUGCAUAGUCAUAGGACAUCCAUGGAGAAAGGGUG